UACGUAGGGUGCGAGCGUUAAUCGGAAUUACUGGGCGUAAAGCGUGCGCAGGCGGUUUUGUAAGUCAGAUGUGAAAUCCCCGGGCUCAACCUGGGAACUGCGUUUGAAACUACAAGGCUAGAGUGUAGCAGAGGGGGGUAGAAUUCCACGUGUAGCAGUGAAAUGCGUAGAGAUGUGGAGGAAUACCAGAGGCGAAGGCGGCUACCUGGACAAUUGCUGACGCUCAGGCACGAAAGCGUGGGGAGCAAACAGG
rnacentral:rRNA from 1 species